rnacentral:rRNA from 1 species
AAAGGAAUUGACGGGGACCCGCACAAGCGGUGGAGCAUGUGGUUUAAUUCGAAGCAACGCGAAGAACCUUACCAAAUCUUGACAUCCCUCUGACCGGCCUUUAACCGGGCCUUUCCUUCGGGACAGAGGUGACAGGUGGUGCAUGGUUGUCGUCAGCUCGUGUCGUGAGAUGUUGGGUUAAGUCCCGCAACGAGCGCAACCCUUAUCUUCAGUAGCCAGCAUUUCGGAUGGGCACUCUGGAGAGACUGCCAGGGAUAACCUGGAGGAAGGUGGGGAUGACGUCAAAUCAUCAUGCCCCUUAUGAUUUGGGCUACACACGUGCUACAAUGGCGGAAACAAAGGGAAGCGAACCUGUGAGGGGAAGCAAAUCUCAAAAAUACCGUCCCAGUUCGGACUGUAGUCUGCAACUCGACUACACGAAGCUGGAAUCGCUAGUAAUCGCGAAUCAGCAUGUCGCGGUGAAUACGUUCCCGGGUCUUGUACACACCGCCCGU